CCCUGAGCUGAGGAGAUGCAACAUUUGCCAAACAAAGGGGAGCUUGUGUCUCAUCUGCAGGGACAGCGACGGUCAAUUGUAGAGUACGGUGGUGCCAGAGGACACUGAAGACCAUCCCUACAGCAAAGACUUGAGCAGUGAUGUUACUGUGGCCAGACAAGAGGACACGUCUUCAAAGUGUCUUGUGCUAUGUAAGGAAGUGCAAAUGAUCAUGGAAAGAAAAUGUCUUAUUCAAAGUACUUCAUCACAUGUAUUCACUGUUACAUAU